CUUGGGACCUUGUAUGUAAGAAAACAUUGAGUCAGAAGAGAGCGUUAGUCAUAGGACUACUGAAACACAAGCUGUCUGCCUACGGAAGGCUCCAGAGUCCCUGACGCAUAUUUAUAUCUCCACUUCACUGAAGUCACAAGGAACAAACACACACCUGCCAUUUCCCAGAUCUCAUAAAACAUAUAAAUGGAUGAGACCAAAGAGAGGCAUGAAAUUCCAUUCUUAUGGUUCACAGGAAGCACCUGGCACACAGUAACUAUUAUUAAUUUCUGCACUGGAGGCAUCAGGAAAGCCUUCAUGCUAUAGGGGGCCCUUUUAAGUUAAGAAGUUGGAGAGCAAGCCUCAGGGAGAGCAAAGAGAUAACUUAGUAGAAUGGAGCAACCAUACAGGAACAGUGAGAGUCCAUGGAUCUCUAUGGGCUAAGAUCAUGUAUGGAUUUGACAAUCUGGC
rnacentral:antisense_RNA from 1 species